UACAGAGGAGCCAAGCGUUGUCCGGAUUGACUGGGCGUAAAGCGCACGCAGGCGGUCGCGCGCGUGGGGUGUGAAAUCUGGCCGCUUAACGGCCAGGCGCCAUCCCAUACGGCACGACUGGAGUGAUGCAGAGGUCGAUGGAAUUGCCGGUGUAGUGGUGAAAUGCGUAGAGAUCGGCAGGAACACCGGUGGCGAAGGCGGCGACCUGGGUCGAUACUGACGCUGAGGUGCGAAAGCGUGGGGAGCAAACAGG
rnacentral:rRNA from 1 species